rnacentral:rRNA from 1 species
UACGGAAGGUCCGGGCGUUAUCCGGAUUUAUUGGGUUUAAAGGGAGCGCAGGCCGAUGGUUAAGCGUGACGUGAAAUGUAGGUGCUCAACAUCUGCACUGCGUCGCGAACUGGCUAUCUUGAGUGAGUUCGAUGUUGGCGGAAUUUGUGGUGUAGCGGUGAAAUGCUUAGAUAUCACGAAGAACUCCGAUUGCGAAGGCAGCCAACAAGGCCUUUACUGACGCUAAAGCUCGAAGGUGCGGGUAU